UACGGAGGAUCCGAGCGUUAUCCGGAUUUAUUGGGUUUAAAGGGUGCGUAGGCGGCCUAUUAAGUCAGGGGUGAAAGACGGUAGCUUAACUAUCGCAGUGCCUUUGAUACUGAUGGGCUUGAAUGUAGUUGAGGUAGGCGGAAUGUGACAAGUAGCGGUGAAAUGCAUAGAUAUGUCACAGAACACCAAUUGCGAAGGCAGCUUACUAAAAUAUGAUUGACGCUGAGGCACGAAGCGUGGGGAUCAAACAGG
rnacentral:rRNA from 1 species